rnacentral:rRNA from 1 species
UGGGGAAUUUUGGACAAUGGGCGCAAGCCUGAUCCAGCCAUGCCGCGUGCAGGAUGAAGGCCUUCGGGUUGUAAACUGCUUUUGUACGGAACGAAAAGGUGCCUUCUAAUAAAGGGCGCUCAUGACGGUACCGUAAGAAUAAGCACCGGCUAACUACGUGCCAGCAGCCGCGGUAAUACGUAGGGUGCGAGCGUUAAUCGGAAUUACUGGGCGUAAAGCGUGCGCAGGCGGUUUUGUAAGACAGAGGUGAAAUCCCCGGGCUCAACCUGGGAACUGCCUUUGUGACUGCAAGGCUGGAGUGCGGCAGAGGGGGAUGGAAUUCCGCGUGUAGCAGUGAAAUGCGUAGAUAUGCGGAGGAACACCGAUGGCGAAGGCAAUCCCCUGGGCCUGCACUGACGCUCAUGCACGAAAGCGUGGGGAGCAAACA